UACGGAGGGAGCUAGCGUUAAUCGGAAUUACUGGGCGUAAAGCGUGCGCAGGCGGCUUUGCAAGACAGAUGUGAAAUCCCCGGGCUUAACCUGGGAACUGCAUUUGUGACUGCAUGGCUGGAGUGCGGCAGAGGGGGAUGGAAUUCCGCGUGUAGCAGUGAAAUGCGUAGAUAUGCGGAGGAACACCGAUGGCGAAGGCAAUCCCCUGGGCCUGCACUGACGCUCAUGCACGAAAGCGUGGGGAGCAAACAGG
rnacentral:rRNA from 1 species